UACAGAGGUCUCAAGCGUUGUUCGGAUUCAUUGGCGUAAAGGGUGCGUAGGUGGCGGGGUAAGUCAGGUGUGAAAUCUCGGAGCUCAACUCCGAAACUGCACUUGAUACUGCCUUGCUCGAGUACUGGAGAGGAGAUUGGAAUUACGGUGUAGCAGUGAAAUGCGUAGAUAUCGUAAGGAAGACCAGUGGCGAAGGCGAAUCUCUGGACAGUUACUGACACUGAGGCACGAAGGCCAGGGGAGCAAACGGG
rnacentral:rRNA from 1 species